AACGAACGCUGGCGGCAUGCCUAACACAUGCAAGUCGAACGAAGCCUUCGGGCUUAGUGGCGCACGGGUGCGUAACGCGUGGGAAUCUGCCCUUGGGUUCGGAAUAACAGUUAGAGAUGACUGCUAAUACCGGUAGAUGUCUUCGGACCAAAGAUUUACCGCCCAAGUAUGAGCCCCCGUAGGAUUAGGUAGUUGGUGGGGUAAUGGCCCACCAAGCCGACGAUCCUUAGCUGGUCUGAGAGGAUGAUCAGCCACACUGGGACUGAGACACCGCCCAGACUCCUACGGGAGGCAGCAGUGGGGAAUAUUGGACAAUGGGCGAAAGCCUGAUCCAGCAAUGCCGCGUGAGUGAUGAAGGCCUUAGGGUUGUAAAGCUCUUUUACCAGGGAUGAUAAUGACAGUACCUGGAGAAUAAGCUCCGGCUAACUCCGUGCCAGCCGCCGCAGUAAGAC
rnacentral:rRNA from 1 species